UACGUAGGAGGCGAAGCGUUGUCCGGAUUUACUGGGCGUAAAGCGCGACGCAGGCGGCAUGGCAAGUAAGGUGUGAAAGUCUCCCUGCCUAACGGGGAGGGUGCAUUUUAGACUGCCAAGCUAGAGGACGGUAGAGGGGGUAGAAUUGCUGGUGUAGCGGUAGAAAUGCGUAGAGAGUCAGCAGGAAUACCCGUGGACGAAGGCGGCCCCCUGGGCCGAACCUGACGCUGAGGCGCGAAGGCUGAGGGGAGCGAACGGGG
rnacentral:rRNA from 1 species